rnacentral:rRNA from 1 species
CAGAACGACUCUCGGCAACGGAUAUCUCGGCUCUCGCAUCGAUGAAGAACGUAGCGAAAUGCGAUACUUGGUGUGAAUUGCAGAAUCCCGUGAACCAUCGAGUCUUUAAACGUAAGUUGCGCCCGAAGCCAUCAGGCCGAGGGCACGUCUUCCUAGGCGUCAUACA